UUUAGUAGUUGCGAGCAUUUCUCUAUAGCUAGUCCAACUCUACCGCUAAUAAGACAUGUUUUUUUCUGCAGCAGCAGUCGAUAUUUUUUCAACAUCAAACAUCGGCUGCGGUGAAAUUUAAACUCUGGACACUCAUCUAUAGUAAUAUACAUGAGGUAAGUUUAUUAUGAAUUUGAGGUUAAAGUUUCGAAGUGGCUAAGAAUAUACUUUGGGAAACACUUGAUUUGGAAAUACACGUGAUAAAACUUCAACCCACGCGAGGCUUUAUCACCUGUGUAUUUGGAUUACACAAUAGUAUACACAAUACACUAUAUAAGGAAUAUAACUGUUUCCAACGUCAUCGCAUAAUGUUCGUACAAAAGAGUAUUUUAGAAAAUCUAUAGUUUUGUGAAAAUCUAAGGAGUUGGCGAGUAAGAAGAUUUACAGAAUUGUGUAUAUCUAAAUAAGCUAUGUCAUCUAGAUAGUAAAAGAUGAUAUUAAUUUAAUUUUUGCAGUAGUUCUACACGCAAAGAAAAUACACCAACUAUAUUAAAGGACAAAUGGAAAAUAAUUAAUUACGUACUCGGUUUCUAUAAUUUAAUACUUUUUACACUAAAACUAUAAUUUUAUAAACUUUAUAAUUUGGUCAUAUGAAUUUUUUUUUUAUAAAACUUACUAUGAUUAAGUCUCAAAAAUUAAAACUAUCUGAAAAUGUUAUGAAAUUUAAUAUAAAUUUACCAAUAUUUACGGUUUUUACUUAUGUAAUUUUUAAAUUUUUAAUAUAGCUAGUAAAUUUAUAAUUUCUGUUAUUUACUGUUAAAAUUAUUUAUACAAAGUUUGGUUAGAUUUUUUAACUUUUUACAAACACUUAUAUACAUUGUGGUAGUCUUAGUUUUUCUUAAGUAUCGUUUUUAAAAAUUAAUUCAUAUUUUUUAGUAAUUAUAAUUAAUUCUUUACUAAAGCUUACGAAGGACCAACUUUUAAUUUAUAAAUGAUAUUUUGAGCACUACUUAUUGUUUUAAAAUUUAAAAAUAUCUGAGAUAUUGAGUUUGGAUUAAUCAUGAUUUAUUCAAAUCGUAUCCAAAUCAAACAGUACAAUGAUUAACUAAACAUUAAGUUAGACCAACAGAAACAAAUGAUUAUUAACGUUUAAAGUGUUGAGUGAUUUCUAAAACAAUUUUUAUCAUGUACUCAAAAUUAUAUUAAGAUAAUAAUAAUACACUUGAGUUGAUUACACAUAUAAUAUACUCACAGCUAUAUUGUAUUGUAAUGUCAAAGUUUAAAUAUAAAAUAUUAUUUGUAUAAAUUAGAGAUUAAAGAGAAUAAUAUCAUAUUAAUAUAUUAAAUUAUAGUUUUCUUUGUUAGGUUAAAAUAAUAAAAAUAAAAGUACUAAACCUUGAAACUUUUAAUUAUUUAUAAGUAUUAAAAGAAUAGAAUAGACAAUAUUUUUAUACUUUUAUGUACGUAUAAAUAGUAAGGUAUAUUAGCAUGAAUAUUUUUUUUCGAAUUUUUAAACAUACGAAUAAUUUGUUAUAAGGUAAGUACAAACAGGAUGCAGAAAUUAAAUAUUAAUCAGGUAUCAGUUAUCAAUAGUAAUUUUCGAAUCUUUCAUCUUGUAAAACUGUGCAUUUUAAAUUGUUACAAUAAUUAUGUAUUAUUGUAAAUAUUAAUAAAUUAUUGCUUUCUAACAAAUUUAGUAAUAUUAAUUAUUAACAUAGUUUUUUUUUUAGUGUUUAAGUGCUCGUAAAAAUGAUUAUGAAUAUAUAUUUGAAAAAUGUA